rnacentral:tRNA from 1 species
GUAUAUAUAAUUUAAAUAAAAUAUUAAAUUGUGACUUUAAUUAUGAGAGUUAAAAUCUCUCUAUAAACCGAG